UCUGAGGCUCGUAAGCAAUCAGCAAACCAAUCUAUAGACACUGUCAAAGGGAGUCUGCAUGGUGGAUGGAGGGUUAGAAAGAAAACAGUCUAGCAUUUGAAAAUGUCAACUCUGUUGCCACACAAGGCCUGUUUAUAUGUGGUUUCUCAUUAAACUUGCGUGACAACCUUGCAUAGAAGGUACUAAUGUUUGCGUGUCUAUUGAAGAAAAAUGAAAGCUCAGAGAGACUCUUUUUUAAAUUAAUGAAUUUACAUAUGCAUGUUUAUCUACCCUAACUUGUGCAAAAAAACCUGGAGACCCGUGAAGACAGAAGAUAUGAAAUCUGAAAUGUGGCCCCAGGUUGCUGCAAGCUCUAUGCUUUUCUCUCUUUCCCCCACCCAUGUAUCCUUCAGCCUAGGACUUUCCCAACCCUCACCUAGAACCAGGAGGGUCCAAAAUACAAUUCAAUAUGCAAAGCUUCAUUUGCAGAAGCAGCAAUGAAUUUUCAGAAGCAGAGGACAAGCUAGAGGGGGGCGGGGGCUGUCUCAACUGGGUGGAGAGUUAAUUUAGUUGCUUUCAAAAGUCAGCAAUACACGCCCAGCCCUACCUCCCAGAGCCCUGAAAGAGACGUGAACUUGAGGCCACCGCCGUACUUGCAAUCUGCAUGAUCCUGUGAUUCUGCUCAGAACAUCUAAUCUCCUUGUAAUUUUGUUCUUACAUCCAUGUCAGGGAAAUAUGAAUAGCCUCGACUACUGCUCACCGACACAGCUGCUCAGGGUGUGAGUGGGGAGAGGGGGUAUAAACACUUGGUCAGCCGUAAAUCACAGUGCAAAAGUGAGGGCUUUCUUUCAUGCCUACCUGGGUAACAGCACCCAGUCCCGUGGACCCAAUGAGACCUAACCAUCAGUAGAGCACACUCAGGGCCAAUGGCAGAGUUUAUUCUGCUAUAUUCAAAGUCAUAUUAGAGUGCCUGGCUCUGUGAUGGGAGACCAAAGGCAGACAGGGAACAAAGUCAGGGCCAUGAUGUGCUGGUUCUAGGACUGAAAUGGGGGCCCAAGGGGGAGGCUGGUAGAGUGGACUCAGGAUGGACAGGGCAGGAGCUGCUGGUGGAAGGGUAUUGGAACUUGACAGGUAAGUAGGAUUUCGCCCUGCAGACAUGGAAAAGGCGUUCCAAGCAGAGGGAACAGCGUGGCCAAGGCACAGAGGUCUGAGCAGGACAGCAUGCAGAGGGAAGCGUGGUCAUGAGCCUCACUGGUGCCAGGUGGCAGCAAGCCUGGCAGACAGCAUUUAUUCAUCAGUGAAACAUCAUUGCAACUGCCCCGUGUGACUUUUCACAGCCAGAUGCUGGGAGACAGCCCCGAAUCUCCCUGACCCAAAGGAUUGGCAGCAUUUCUUUGGCCAUUUGUUGCUCUGAUUUGCUAGCAAUUUUCUAAAAUCAAACCAAUCCACUGGGCAUAUGGGUCCCCACUGUUUUAGUAAGUAGAAAUCUAACAGUUCCAUUUCCUCCCUGGGGAAUGAGAAAACACUGAAAUAAGUAGCUGUUUCCCACAUUUACAUGGUUCCUUUCUUCUUGCUUGAAAUGACUUAUGGUCAAGGAUUAAUCUGUUAGGUGGGCAGAGAAAAAUUACAACCUCUGUCACCGUGGCUAAGGAAGAGGUAACACGCAGGGUGGGAGGGUAAUAGUUCUGCUUGGUCAGAAAAAUUAAAGACUUGGAUUCUUUGGAAUUUGAGAUGAGAACUUAAAGCCAUAAGGGAACUGGGAUGAGAUCUGGUCUAACAUACAAGUGCAAGACUCUCUUAUAAAACAGCCUGGCCAACCAGCAGGCACUGAGCUUUGGCUUGAUUCACUUCUGUUUACUAAUUUGAUGCGCUGAUGGAUCUUAACUUCCGAUGGAAGCACAAACACUGCACAUCACAAAAUGAGGGGAAAGGGAAACAGGGCAGGGGGCAAUGGGGAUUUGGGGAAAGAGGCUUAGAAUCAAAUUUAGCUCCUCUAUUUCCAUAGAUGAGGCUACAACGAUUUUAGGCAAGACACUGAAACUCUCUGAGUCUCCUCCUCUGUAGAGAGUGGGUUAUAACACCUUCCUGGCUGGGGUUGCUGUGAGGAUUGAGUGGACCAGCGCAUAUAAAGUGUCCAGUAGAGAUACCUGGCACACAGCCGGCACUCAAUAAAUGGUAAUUAUUAUUAUCUCAUUAGCCCAAACUCCCAACCAAGGCAGAAAUCCUUCUUCAAACAACUCUGACACACUAAGGAGCUAUCAGGUCUCUACUUGAAUAAAUAUUUGUUGAUCGAUUUGGUGAUCGGUUGGUUCUAAGCAGCCAGGGUCAUACACACCCUACCCUUACUUAAUCCUCUAGGUUCUCAGAAAUGUUUUAGCAACAAGGCCACAUCCAUCUCCACUGGGUGGUACCGAAGGGAGAAACCGUUCCCAGCAUGGGGCCUGACCCCAUGAAGGACUUUCAGGCUAAGCAGGACUAUUCUGGAACCUCACCAAACAACGUGAAGACACUACUGCUGAUUCACCAAACAUCCCUCUCAUCCUCUCUGCCCAGCACUUCCCCAGUAAUCUCAGAAGAGGAAAGUAGUGCUGGAUUCAAGCUCUGUCAUCAGUGGACCACAGUCCAAAUUCCAGCGUCCCCAUGUAGUUUGUCAUUAAGCCUCAGUUUCCUCAUCUACAAAAUUGGGAACAAUAAUGGUACCUACUACGCAGGGCUGUUUUGAGGGGUGAGGGGGAUCAUGCAUGUUGAUGCUUAGCACAGUGUCUGGCACAGAGUAAACACACAAUAGGAGUUAGCUAUUGUUCUUUCCUAGUACAUCUGUCCCCUUGUCCUCGCCCUGCUACCUUAGAUGCUACAGUCUGCCAUUGUUCCACUGAAAGGGAUCCUCAAGAACACACAUUAGCUCCAGAAGGACUCAGGACAGCCUUGAGUGUCAUGCCUGAGGUUUCAGGCAGGGGGCGCUCUGCCCAAGUCAGCCUGGAGACAGCACCUAACAGGUGCCGGACUCGGCCCCACAGGAGCUCAGAAUGGCAUGUUUAUGGUCUUUGAUUAAUAAAUGCAUUUGAUUUUAAAAAUGCAUCGGUUCAGUAGAUUAAAAAUAAAUAAAUAGUCUUGGAAAAGGAAAAAACUAAAUGGGAUCUAUGGAGAUUUAAAAAAAAAUUGAGCAUCCCAAUAUCUUUUCCGAUGUAUUCUCUGAAUUCCUUUCCUCCCUCUCUUCCUUCCUUCCAAAACAUGCACACAUACUGAGUGGUUACCUGUGUCAGCCUUGUGCUAGGCACUGGGAAUACAAGACAAAUAAGCCCUGCUUUCUGCCCUCAAGGAGCUCACAAUCUAGGUGGGGAGCAGACAGAAAGUGAACACAAGGGGGCAGGUCCCCCAACAGGAUCAGUACAGGUUCUGAGGAUGCUGAGGCAGAGCCUCAGACUCCAGGUGGACACAGAGGAACAAGGGUGUCUCCCAAGGAGGGGACAUGCAAACUGAGACCUUUGAACCAUUUCAUUAGAUGUUUUGGCUGGUUAUAAAAUAUGCAUAUAUAUUUUAUAAAACAUAUAUGUAGUAUAUAUUUAUUGCAAGAGACUUAGGGAGCACCGCAGUGCCAGACAAAGAAAACAUCAACCAUUUCUCACCACAGGAAGCAACCACGGAUACAUCCGUGAACAUUUCUCCAUCUUUCAUGUAUGCAGUGAACAUCAAUGAGCUCAUGAUGUCUAAACAAUUUGAUAGGCUCUCCUUUUCACUUAACAUCGAAACAUAAACUUUUUUUUCCAUCAAGCUCCAUCCAGAAGCAGGACCUUUGGAUCUCUGAUUUGGGGGACAGAACCCCGGAUCCCCAGGAGCCCAGGCUGGCCCCGAGGAGAGAAGACAAGCUGGGUUUCCGCGAGCAGGUUGAGUCAGCCGAGCAUCCUGAGUCCCACAACUGCGGAUGGCUGGAGAGCACGGCGUGGCCCUCAGGAGACAGUCCAGGCCCAGAGGGUCCUCGGCACACAGGUGGUGGUUGACGCCAUGGGAUGGAUGAGGUCCCUCAGGGAGGGUGUGCAGGGUGAGAAGAGAGAUGACUUAGGGUAAGGUCC
rnacentral:lncRNA from 1 species